CGUCAAGUCAUCAUGGCCUUUAUGCCCAGGGCGACACACGCGCUACAAUGGGGUACACAGAGGGAAGCGAUGCAGUGAUGCGGAGCGGAUCCCAGAAAGUGCCUCUCAGUUCGGAUUGUAGUCUGCAACUCGACUACAUGAAGAUGGAAUCGCUAGUAAUCGCGGAUCAGAAUGCCGCGGUGAAUACGUUCCCGGGUCUU
rnacentral:rRNA from 1 species